rfam:Tupaia chinensis contig210152, whole genome shotgun sequence.
ACUACUGCACAGUGGGAGUAUUGUAGCCAAUGAAGUUUAUACGAAGUGUGGUUAUUGCUAAUUGAAAACUUUUCCCAAUACCCUGCCAUGAUGACUUGCAAUAUAGUCAGCAUUGGCAAUUUUUGACAGUAAAAGUAUAUUUUA